rnacentral:rRNA from 1 species
GUCCUGGCUCGGGAUGAACGCUAGCUACAGGCUUAACACAUGCAAGUCGAGGGGCAGCAUGGUCUUAGCUUGCUAAGGCCGAUGGCGACCGGCGCACGGGUGAGUAACACGUAUCCAACCUGCCGUCUACUCUUGGACAGACUUCUGAAAGGAAGAUUAAUACAAGAUGGCAUCAUGAGUUCACAUGUUCACAUGAUUAAAGGUAUUCCGGUAGACGAUGGGGAUGCG